rnacentral:rRNA from 1 species
GAUGAACGCUGGCGGCGUGCCUAAUACAUGCAAGUCGAGCGAACAGAUAAGGAGCUUGCUCCUUUGACGUUAGCGGCGGACGGGUGAGUGACACGUGGAUAACCUACCUAUAAGACUGUGAUAACUUCGGGAAACCGGAGCUAAUACCGGAUAACAUAUUGAACCGCAUGGUUCAAUAGUGAAAGGCGGCUUUGCUGUCACUUAUAGAUGGGUCCGCGCCGUAUUAGCUAGUUGGUAAGGUAACGGCUUACCAAGGCAACGAUACGUACCCGACCUGAGAGGGUGAUCGGCCACACUGGAACUGAGACACGGUCCAGACUCCUACGGGAGGCAGCAGUAGGGAAUCUUCCGCAAUGGGCGAAAGCCUGACGGAGCAACGCCGCGUGAGUGAUGAAGGUCUUCGGAUCGUAAAACUCUGUUAUCAGGGAAGAACAAAUGUGUAAGUAACUGUGCACAUCUUGACGGUACCUGAUCAGAAAGCCACGGCUAACUACGUGCCAGCCGCCGCAGUAA